UAAGCCAUGCGAGUCGAGAGGGUUCAGACCCUCGGCGGACUGCUCAGUAACACGUGGAUAACCUGCCCUAAGGUGGAGCAUAACCCCGGGAAACUGGGGAUAAUACUCCAUAGAUUAGAGACACUGGAAUGUUCUUUAGUCGAAAGUUCUGGCGCCUUAGGAUGGAUCUGCGGUCGAUUAGGUUGUUGUUGGGGUAACGGCCCAACAAGCCUGUAAUCGAUACGGGUUGUGGGAGCAAGAGCCCGGAGAUGGAAUCUGAGACACGAUUCCAGGCCCUACGGGGCGCAGCAGGCGCGAAAACUUUACAAUGCAGGAAACUGUGAUAAGGGAACUCCGAGUGCCCGUAUACGCGGGCUGUCCAGGUGUUUAAAAAUCAUCUGAAGAAAGGGCCGGGCAAGACCGGUGCCAGCCGCCGCGGUAAUACCGGCGGCCCGAGUGGUGACCGUUAUUAUUGGGUCUAAAGGGUCCGUAGCCGGUUUGGUCAGUCCUCCGGGAAAUCUGAUAGCUUAACUGUUAGGCUUUCGGGGGAUACUGCCAGGCUUGGAACCGGGAGAGGUAAGAGGUACUACAGGGGUAGGAGUGAAAUCUUGUAAUCCCUGUGAGACCACCUGUGGCGAAGGCGUCUUACCAGAACGGGUUCGACGGUGAGGGACGAAAGCUGAGGGCACGAACCGGAUUAGAUACCCGGGUAGUCCCAGCCGUAAACUAUGCUCGCUAGGUGUCAGGCAUGGCGCGACCGUGUCUGGUGCCGCAGGGAAGCCGUGAAGCGAGCCACCUGGGAAGUACGGCCGCAAGGCUGAAACUUAAAGGAAUUGGCGGGGGAGCACAACAACGGGUGGAGCCUGCGGUUUAAUUGGACUCAACGCCGGACAACUCACCGGGGACGACAGCAAUAUGUAGGCCAGGCUGAAGACCUUGCCUGAAUCGCUGAGAGGAGGUGCAUGGCCGUCGCCAGUUCGUACUGUGAAGCAUCCUGUUAAGUCAGGCAACGAGCGAGACCCA
rnacentral:rRNA from 1 species